CAGUAGCCGCGGUAAUACGAAGGGUGCAAGCGUUACUCGGAAUUACUGGGCGUAAAGCGUGCGUAGGUGGUGGUUUAAGUCCGUUGUGAAAGCCCUGGGCUCAACCUGGGAAUUGCAGUGGAUACUGGAUCACUAGAGUGUGGUAGAGGAUAGUGGAAUUUCCGGUGUAGCAGUGAAAUGCGUAAAGAUCGGAAGGAACACCUGUGGCGAAGGCGACUAUCUGGGCCAACACUGACACUGAGGCACGAAAGCGUGGGGAGCAAACAGGAUUAGAUACCCGCGUAGUCCCUGUCUCUUAUAC
rnacentral:rRNA from 1 species